rnacentral:rRNA from 1 species
GAUGAACGCUGGCGGCGUGCUUAACACAUGCAAGUCGAACGGGAAACCUUUUAUUGAAGCUUCGGCAGAUUUAGCUGGUUUCUAGUGGCGGACGGGUGAGUAACGCGUGGGUAACCUGCCCUAUACAGGGGGAUAACAACCAGAAAUGGUUGCUAAUACCGCAUAAGCGCACAGGGCCGCAUGGUCCGGUGUGAAAAACUCCGGUGGUAUAGGAUGGACCCGCGUUGGAUUAGCCAGUUGGCAGGGUAACGGCCUACCAAAGCGACGAUCCAUAGCCGGCCUGAGAGGGUGAACGGCCACAUUGGGACUGAGACACGGCCCAGACUCCUACGGGAGGCAGCAGUGGGGAAUAUUGCACAAUGGGGGAAACCCUGAUGCAGCGACGCCGCGUGAAGGAAGAAGUAACUCGGUAUGUAAACUUCUAUCAGCAGGGAAGAUAGUGACGGUACCUGACCAAGAAGCCCCGGCUAACUACGUG